ACGAAGGGUGCAAGCGUUGCUCGGAAUUAUUGGGCGUAAAGGGUAGGUAGGUGGUAAUAAAAGUCUGGGGUGAAAUCCCUGAGCUCAACUCAGGACGUGCCUUGGAAACUUUAUUACUAGAGUGCUGGAGAGGUCCGCAGAAUUCCCGGUGUAGCGGUGAAAUGCGUAGAGAUCGGGAGGAAUACCAGAGGCGAAGGCGGCGGACUGGACCUGACCUGACGCUGAGGCGCGAAGGCGUGGGGAGCGAACGGGA
rnacentral:rRNA from 1 species